rnacentral:rRNA from 1 species
UACAGAGGUCCCAAGCGUUGUUCGGAUUCAUUGGGCGUAAAGGGUGCGUAGGCGGCGCGGUAAGUCGGGUGUGAAAUCUCGGAGCUUAACUCCGAAACUGCAUUCGAUACUGCCGUGCUUGAGGACUGGAGAGGAGACUGGAAUUUACGGUGUAGCGGUGAAAUGCGUAGAUAUCGGGAGGAACACCUGUGGCGAAGGCGGCCCCCUGGUUGGAUACUGACGCUGAUACGCGGAAGCGUGGGGAGCAAACAGG